CAGCCGUAAACUAUGCGCGUUAGGUGUAUCGGUGACCACGAGUUACCGAGGUGCCGAAGGGAAACCGUGAAACGUGCCGCCUGGGAAGUACGGUCGCAAGGCUGAAACUUAAAGGAAUUGGCGGGGGGAGCACAACAACGGGUGGAGCCUGCGGUUUAAUUGGACUCAACGCCGGACAACUCACCGGGACGACAGCAAUAUGUAGGCCAGGCUGAAGACCUUGCCUGAAUACGCUGAGAGGAGGUGCAUGGCGUAGACGUCU
rnacentral:rRNA from 1 species